rnacentral:tRNA from 8 species
CGGAAUAUAGCGCAGUCCGGUAGCGCACCUGCCUUGGGAGCAGGGGGCCGCAAGUUCGAAUCUUGCUAUUCCGACCA